UCAUUACAGUUGACCCCGGCCCUCGGGCCGGGAUGUUCACAACCCUUUGUUGUCCGACUCUGUUGCCUCCGGGGCGACCCUGCCUCCGGGCGGGGGCCCCGGGUGGACACUUCAAACUCUUGCGUAACUUUGCAGUCUGAGUAAAUUUAAAUUAAUAAAUUAAAACUUUCAACAACGGAUCUCUUGGUUCUGGCAUCGAUGAAGAACGCAGCGAAAUGCGAUAAGUAAUGUGAAUUGCAGAAUUCAGUGAAUCAUCGAAUCUUUGAACGCACAUUGCGCCCCCUGGUAUUCCGGGGGGCAUGCCUGUUCGAGCGUCAUUUCACCACUCAAGCCUCGCUUGGUAUUGGGCGACGCGGUCCGCCGCGCGCCUCAAAUCGACCGGCUGGGUCUUCCGUCCCCUCAGCGUUGUGGAAACUAUUCGCUAAAGGGUGCCGCGGGAGGUCACGCCGCAAAACAACCCCAUUUCUAAGGUUGACCUCGGAUCAGGUAGGGAUACCCGCUGAACUUAAGCAUAUCAAUAAGCGGAGGA
rnacentral:rRNA from 1 species